GAGAAGCUGGUGAGAGUUCUAAGAAAAGCAGUGGGCCUAUUGAUGACUUUUUUCUGAGGAGGAAUUCUUGUACUCCUCAGCAAGCCACUGCUCUUACAGAGUCAAUUCUAAACAUGAUUGUUAAAGACAUGAGACCUCUUUCCCUGGUGGAUGGAGAAGGCUUUCGUGAAAUGGUUUCUACAUUCAAUCCUGGAUAUAUCAUUCCAUCAAGAACCUACUUUACAAGAUUAAUGGAGCAAAAAUAUGAAAAAACCUGUCAAAAAGUUAAGGAAACUAUUCAGGAAGGAAGAAGCUUCAUUGCACUGACCACUGACAUCUGGACUAGCCUCGCAACAGAAGCAUACCUAGGUGUCACA